CGUACCCAAGGCGACUCGAUACAUAGCCGACCUGAGUACGGGUGAUCGGUCCACAUUCGGGACUUGAGACACGGCCAAACUCCUACGGGAGGCAGCAGUAGGGAAUCUUCGGCAAUGGGCGAAAGUCUGACGGAGCAACGCCGCGUGAGUGAUGACGGCCUUCGGGUUGUUAAAGCUCUGUUAAUCGGGACGUAAAGGCCUUCUUGCGAAUAGUGAGAAGGAUUGACGGUACCGGAAUAGGUAAAGCCAACGGCUAACUACGUCGCCAGCUAGCCGCGGUAAUACGUAGGUGGCAAGCGUUGUACCGGAACUUAUUGGGCGUAAAGCGCGCGCAGGCGGGAUAGGUCAGUCUCGUCUUAAAAGUUCGGGGCUUAACCCCGUGAUGGGAUGGAAACUGCCAAUCUAGAGUAUCGGAGAGGAAAGUUGGAAUUCCUAGUGUAGCGGUGAAAUGCGUAGAUAUUAGGAAGAACACCAGUGGCGUAACGGCGACUUUCUGGGACGAAAACUGACGCUUGAGGCGCGAAAGCCAGGGGAGCGAACGGGAUUAGAUACCCCGGUAGUCCUGGCCGUAAACGAUG
rnacentral:rRNA from 1 species